AAAGCUAUGCUUUCAGGGAUCAUUUUUCUAGUUGGUGACUGGAGAUGGGUGAUUAUGGAUAGUUGAUCUUGCUAACCCUAAUGAGGAGUUGUAGUGUUUCCUUCUGAGCAUAAAAAUUGUAGAGAGCAUUGUUCUGUGACAGCUGUUUUUUGCUGUGGAAGAGUGUCUUGUUUUUCCUGAGAAAAGCAGGGGAAGGGUGCACAGUCUGAGUGGU